rnacentral:rRNA from 1 species
UUGGCGGACGGGUGAGUAACGCGUGGAUAACCUGCCUUAUACAGGGGGAGUAACGGAGAGAAAUUUCCGCUAAGACCGCAUAAGACCACAGCACCGCAUGGUGCAGGGGUAAAAUAUUUAUAGGUAUAAGAUGGAUCCGCGUCCGAUUAGCUAGUUGGUGAGGUAGAGGCUCACCAAGGCGACGAUCGGUAGCCGGCCUGAGAGGGUGAACGGCCACAUUGGGACUGAGACACGGCCCAA